ensembl:snRNA U6 U6 spliceosomal RNA
GUGCUCGCUUCAGCAGCAGUUACACUAAAAUUGGAAUGAUACAGAGAAGAUUAGCAUGGCCCCUGCACAAGGGUGACAUGCAAAUUCAUGGAGCGUUCCAUAUUUUU